rnacentral:rRNA from 1 species
UAGGGAAUCUUCCGCAAUGGACGAAAGUCUGACGGAGCAACGCCGCGUGAGUGAAGAAGGUUUUCGGAUCGUAAAACUCUGUUGUUAGGGAAGAACAAGUGCCGUUCGAAUAGGGCGGCACCUUGACGGUACCUAACCAGAAAGCCACGGCUAACUACGUGCCAGCAGCCGCGGUAAUACGUAGGUGGCAAGCGUUGUCCGGAAUUAUUGGGCGUAAAGCGCGCGCAGGUGGUUUCUUAAGUCUGAUGUGAAAGCCCACGGCUCAACCGUGGAGGGUCAUUGGAAACUGGGGAACUUGAGUGCAGAAGAGGAAAGUGGAAUUCCAAGUGUAGCGGUGAAAUGCGUAGAUAUUUGGAGGAACACCAGUGGCGAAGGCGACUUUCUGGUCUGUAACUGACACUGAGGCGCGAAAGCGUGGGGAGCAAACAGGAUUAGAUACCCUGGUAGUCCACGCCGUAAACGAUGAGUGCUAAGUGUUAGAGGGUUUCCGCCCUUUAGUGCUGCAGCUAACG